rnacentral:rRNA from 1 species
GAUGAACGCUGGCGGCGUGCCUAAUACAUGCAAGUAGAACGCUGAAGGAAGGAGCUUGCUCUUUCCGGAUGAGUUGCGAACGGGUGAGUAACGCGUAGGUAACCUGCCUGGUAGCGGGGGAUAACUAUUGGAAACGAUAGCUAAUACCGCAUAACAGUAGAUGUUGCAUGAUAUCUACUUAAAAGGUGCAAUUGCACCACUACCAGAUGGACCUGCGUUGUAUUAGCUAGUUGGUGAGGUAACGGCUCACCAAGGCGACGAUACAUAGCCGACCUGAGAGGGUGAUCGGCCACACUGGGACUGAGACACGGCCCAGACUCCUACGAGAGGCAGCAGUAGGGAAUCUUCGGCAAUGGACGGAAGUCUGACCGAGCAACGCCGCGUGAGUGAAGAAGGUUUUCGGAUCGUAAAGCUCUGUUGUAAGAGAAGAACGAGUGUGAGAGUGGAAAGUUCACACUGUGACGGUAUCUUACCAGAAAGGGACGGCUAACUACGUG